UACAGAGGGGGCGAGCGUUAUUCGGAAUUAUUGGGCGUAAAGGCGCGUAGGCGGCCUUUCAAGUGACGGGUGAAAUCCCUCGGCUUAACCGAGGAACUGCCUGUCAGACUGGAAGGCUUGAGACCGGGAGAGGUGAGUGGAAUUCCCAGUGUAGCGGUGAAAUGCGUAGAUAUUGGGAGGAACACCAGUGGCGAAGGCGGCUCACUGGACCGGUACUGACGCUGAGGCGCGAAAAGCGUGGGGAGCA
rnacentral:rRNA from 1 species